CCAUAGUAAAAUAAAUUACACAGCCUUUUCACGGCUGAAUUCCCUCAGAGAGGGUGAUUAAA
rnacentral:tRNA from 1 species